GCAAAUCCGGACAGUAUGGCUGCACCCUGGAGCAGGCUCGUUCCUGCUAGCAGCAUCCCAGCUCCUGGAGUUCCGAGUGUAAAUGCAAGGUAAAAAUAUAUCGAAGAAUUGUUAGAAACUUACUUCCCUUUAUAUGCCGCAUGCAGUUUCUGCCAAAACAAUACUUUGGACGCAUCUAAAGUAAAAGGCAACAUCAUUCUGUGCCUUCAACCUUCCGCGCUGGAUUCGAGACCGCUCAAGAGUCUGGUGAUCAAGCAGCUAGGUGGCGUAGGAAUGAUUCUUGUUGAUGAGAUUGCCAAGGAUAUCGCAGAGUCUUACUUCCUGCCAGCAACUAAUGUUGGUGCAAAAGAAGGUGCUGUGAUUGCUACUUACCUCAACCAGACAAGGUAUAGCUCUGCCGGUCAAAAAACUUUAUCUGACCAUCCGGCUGUCCGCAUAGUUCUCCAGUUGCAACGAUCCUCCCCACAAAAACCGUGCGAAACUUUAAGCCAGCGCCUGCUGUUGCAGUCUUCUCAUCCAGAGGACCAAAUUCUGUGACACCAGAAAUCCUUAAGGUGAGGUUUAUAGCUAUGAUUAAGCUGACUUACUGUAUGGUUUAACAGCCGGAUAUUACCGCUCCUGGAGUCAGCAUUCUAGCAGCAUGGUCACCAGUCGCGACUAAAGCUGUCGGAGGGCGAUCUGUCGACUUCAACAUAGUCUCGGGAACUUCUAUGUCCUGCCCUCACAUUACAGGCGUUGCGGCAAAUCUGAUAGCCAAGUUCCCGAGAUGGAGCCCCGCAGCUAUUAAAUCUGCAAUCAUGACAACGGGUAUACAUAUACUAACACAACUUGAGAAACACAGCACUCACGUUGGAUACUUGCAGCUUCGACUUUGGAUAACACAGGCGCGGCAAUCAACAAUCAAUUCUUCCAGACAGUUUCCGGGCCUUUCGACUUUGGAGCAGGACAUGUGAGGCCAAACCUGUCAUUGAGGCCCGGCCUUGUCUACGACACCGGCUUCCACGACUAUGUCAGCUUCCUGUGCAGUAUCGGCUCGUUAAAGCAACUUCACAACAUAACACACGAUGACACACCUUGCCCGAGUGCUCCGAUCGCUCCACACAACCUCAAUUAUCCUUCCAUCGCGGUCACCCUGCAGCGGCAACGAAAGACCGUGGUGUACCGAACCGUGACAAACGUAGGAACUCCACAGUCGCUUUACAAGGCCACUGUGAAAGCCCCGAGUGGAGUUGUCGUGAACGUAGUUCCCGAGUGCCUGAGUUUCGAGGAGCUGCACGAGAAGAAAUCUUUCACGGUUGAGUUCAGCGCGCAGGCAUCAAGCAACGGAAGCUUUGCGUUUGGAUCACUUACAUGGAGCGAUGGCAGACACGACGUAACCAGCCCAAUCGCCGUCCUCACAUCUUAGACCGAGCCGCAAGAGGAGUCACAAGUCCCGGAGGCUAAGGUUUAUAAGAACAAAAACUAGCACACUUCAUGAUAUUUCUCGAAAAAAAUUCACUGUUCUCGAAUAGAACAACACAACGAAGCUUCAUAAGCCAGCGAUAGAUGAUCUAAUUCAUAUCUACACAGGAAAUCACUCGAAAUUUGCACUUAGCAAAGAGGACAAAGACUUCACGAGAAUGCCUGACAACGAAGCGAUCUAUCUAAGGAUAGCACGAUCGACACAAUCACAGCAAAGAGAGCAGUAUCGAGGCCAAAAUCACACAAAAGACGCAUUGGUGCCUGCAUUCCUACGCGAUCUUACCGGGCCGCGCAUUCUCCCGCCUAUAACCCAUCCAAG
rnacentral:lncRNA from 1 species